GGAAAAAUACUCAGAAAGGUUGAAGAAGUCUCUUUCUCCCUACACAGAACGUCUCCAACAGAUUGCAACCUAUUUAUUUAGCUGCUUUAGGUUAAAAAAAGGCAUAUAUAUGCCUUUAUUAACCUAAAGCAGCUUGACUGAGUGUCAUGAGUUUCACACAUAGAUUGGUUCUAAGGACUGUUUAGCAAAUUAUGGGGAGCAAACCUGCAUUUGCUAUUGAGGGGUAAACUAGAUUCAAGCUUUGGAGAUUUGGGAUCAGGUUUCAUAUCUCUAAACUGGAUUGGGAUCACCAUGCUGCAGGAAGGGUUAAACCAUCUCCCUUCCAUUUUCUCCAGUGUAUUCUGUUACUUGACUCACUUGACUCAGGCUGUAAUGAGUCUUAUUGGGGAGAAACAUAUAGGUUUAUAGAUGUGUUCCCUAACAGGACAAAGUAGCAGGUUUGUGGGGUGUGCUAGCAAAGGGUGAUUUGCACUGAGUUAACCCUUGCAUUGGGUUCACCAUUCCUUUGCAAGUGCCUAUUCAGUCCCAAUCUAAUAUGCUCUUUGCCCAACUGCUUCUAAAGGGAAUUUAAAGAGAUGGGAUAUAUAAUAAUGGUUCUCCAUGAUCAUCUCGAUUUGCACUGUACCAGUGAAGCCUGGGUUUCUGACAAGCAUAUCUAUUUGAAACGGGUGUUUGUCACAUCUGAAUGCCACAUUUUAAGGAACCACAUUUAAAAUAAUCUUAAGUGUACACCUUAAAUGUGCAAUAAGUGAAGAAGCCCUAAAUUAAGCACGAACAAUGUCAGAAAUACAUACUGGAUAUCAAACACUAGUGAGUUUUACACACACACACACAAACCCAUGUUGCAAUUUUCUGAUCUGUUCCACCCAUCCACAGCCAGGCUCCCCAAGCGAAUAAAAGAUUUCUUCAAAAUCAACACUACAUGGGAGCCACAAGAACAAGUUUUCCUUUGUUGUGAAUGCUAUAGCAUUAUUUGCUGUAGGUUUUUUUUUUUAAAAAAAUAUACAUUCUAAAUUAGGUCUGUGAAGGCAUGCUUCAUCUUUAAUUCAUCACUCUCAGCUGAAAGAGAUUAGCAAUGUCUAGCACGCACCCCCUAGUUUGGUGCUGACCUCAUCAAGUAUGGCCUGAAAUUAAUUAGCCUCAUUCAUUCCAAAUGGGGAGAAAAAGGAUAAUGGAGCAGUAUUUUUAAAGAUGACCACCACAAAUUGCCCAGAGUGUGUUUAAAAGUAUAACACCCCCUUCUCAAACACAUACAUUGUUUCAAAACCAUCUAGGCUAACAAACUUACUAGCUCUUGCAAAGUUAUGCUGAAAUUAGCAAGAGAUCAAGAUAGGAGGGCCCGGUUAUAUUUAGGAAGUUUGUUUACUUGUAACAAAUAAGCUGAGAAUCAGAGUACCUGGAAUAAAUGGACCGAGAUGUGGUUCUGUUUUGGCUGGACUAAGCACAUUAGUGUAUGUGCUGUAGGCAGAUCAAUGUGGAUAGAGCUACAUGAGGCAUCCCCAGAUGUAGUUGGACUGCAACUCUCAUAAUCCCCGAGUCAGACAAUUGGUCCAUCUAGCUCCAGUACUGUCUACACGGACUGGCAGGGGCUCUCCAGGGUUUCAGGCAAGGGACACUCACAGCCCUACUGGGAGAUGCCAGAGGUUGAACCUUGGGCCUUCUGCAUGCAAAGGAGAUGCUCUGCCACUGAAUUAGGGUCCUUUGUCCAUCUAUUACAUCUUUGGAAAUUCCUCUACAUUCUCACAGGAAAUGGUUUUCAUGACAUGAAACAGCAAUUCUAACUUGCAAAGGGCGAAGGGACUGUGUAGGAAUUAGCCAGGAAUAUUGAACAAUUGCAAGCAUUAUCAUAUGAAGGAGUUAUUGAAUACUCCUGGGUCUCCCCCCCCCCCAUUUUGGUAAAAGAAUGUAGAAAGUCCUCAUAUUUCUCUCUCUCUCUGCUGUAGCAAAGCCGUAGAAAAUUAUCAGCAAGAAAUGAAAGCUGUCUCUUCCAUCUUUGGUUUAAUUAACACAGGUAUUCCAAUUGAACUCCAUUUAUCAAGCGAUCAUGGAUUAAACAGUAACUCAGGGCUGACAAUGAAAAUGUUACCAGGAGGGCGGUGAAGAAUAGAUUGAAGAAAACCAAGUGAGUGACUUUGCCAUUGUGGGCAAGAACGAGCUUGUGUAAAUAUUAGCUAGGAAACAUGGUUCUUUUAUUCAGAUGGAGGGAUUGUUUUGUUUUUGCAGCCCGGAAAAGUUGGUUUGCCAGUCGAUGCAUCUAUUCAUUAACACUAUGAAUUGUGACUGGUUUUGUUUUUUUAAACCCACCAAUCUUUUUAAUAUAUCAGUUUCUCAGCUAAAACCCAUAGACUUUUUAGUGGAGUUCCUGAAUAGGAAGAGGCAGCAAUGCUUUGGAGGCAUAGAGGGGAGAAGAUUGCUCUUGUGCUCAGCUCCUGGCUUGUGAGUUUCCUACAGGCUUCUGGUUGGCUACUAUGACAACAGGUUGUUGAGCUGGGCUCAAAGUCUAGUAAAUGGCACAGCCUGAAUUUACUGCUAUGUGACUGAAUUCCACCCAAACAUAUUGGCAGCCUGGAAGCAUCCUUCAUCCUUUUGUGUUCUUCCCCCUCCCUAAAGGCAUUUUGCACACCCACACAUUUUGAGGUGUGGUGUAGUGGUUAAGAGCGAGACUCGUAAUCUGGGGAACCGGGUUUGCGUCUCUGCUCCUCCACAUGCAGCUGCUGGGUGACCUUGGGCUAGUCACACUUCUCUGAAGCCUCUCAGCCCCACUCACCUCACAGAGUGUUUCUUGUGGGAGAGGAAGGGAAAGGAGAAUGUUAGCCACUUUGAGACUCCUUUGGGUAGUGAUAAAGCGGGAUAUCAAAUCCAAACUCUUCUUCUUCUCUUCUUCUCCUCAGCCUGUUGUUACCUCCCUCUUACAACAGGGAUAUUAUAAGGCAUUUUCCUUCCACCUGGUAUAUGUCACAUGUAGCAGUGUUUCCAUUCUGCUGCAUUUCGUCUUCCACUAAAAACAAUGUUAUUUUUCUUGGCAAAAUCCAGCCAUAGGAACUAGUGAGAUGAAUAGCAUAAGCUGAACUGUAGCAGAAUGGAAAAGGCUCUGGUUGUGACAAACACAGGAUGGGACAGAAAUCAUUGCCUCCUUACAUCCCUUCUGGGCUUUAGGGAAGGCCUAAGCAGGCCAUGUGUGGCCUGCAGACUGCUCACCUGUGAGCUAGACAAAGGAGCCCCUAAUAAUGAGUAAAGGCAUUUCAACAACAACAACAACAUCAUAAUUAGUAGAAGGAAUAAGACCAAAGAGCGUGUUAAUGUUGAUUUUUCCUCAGUUUACUGGGGUAUCCCCCAAGCACACAUUGCAGUAAAAUAAACACCUGCCAGCCAUAUAGAGAAGCAAACCAAGCCUUUCCCUUUCUUCUUUCCAGUCGUCUUUUUAAAAAAAUAUAUAUAAAGGAAACGGAAUCUAUAAUUGUUGAUGCUUAUCUGCAACAGCUGUCUCUGAAGGAAAACACUAGAAAAAUGGCUGCUGGGAUGAUGUCGCCAGUGCAGUAGGACACUUAAGGGCCAAAAAUGUGUUCCUGAUAAUUAAAAAAAAAAAGAGCAGCGACAUUACAUACUCCCCCCUCUGCCCAAAUGCAUUCCCUGCCCUGAAUUACCUGAGCUCACUCAUAUCUCCUUCAGGAGGCAUAUCUGCUGAGCACAACAGCCUUAGGAGGGCACCUAGCCAUGGAGUUAUAAUUAGUGAGGCUUGUUCAUAAUGGCUUCAGAGGGUAGGGGAGCAGUGGUGCAGACCAGGCCUGGGGGCUCGCUCUUUCUUUCUUUCUUUCUCAUUCAUUGCCUUGCUGGGGGGGCGGGGAGAGACAUUGUGUAUAGGAGCUUUGUGACACGUGAUGUUACUACCUCUCACACCAGUCAAAUUGGAGUGGGAGGGUUUGAAAGGAACAUAAGAGAGAAAUAGAGAGAAAGAGAAUACCUUGGAUCACUGACCAUUUACCAAAUGAUAGGGGUGGGGAACAGAAACGCAGAUUCAUACACAAUGAAGGCCAGAGCUGGGGAAGCUUUUCAGUUUGAGGGCCAUACUGCUUUCUGAGCAACCUUCCAGGGGCCACACAUGCCAGUGGCUGGUGGGGCUGGAGGCAAAGGGAGGCAGAACAAUUAAUGCAAAAUUUGCACAGUAGGUUAGUUUUGACACUCCCUUCUGUAUCCUCCAUCCAGGAAGCACAAGGCAUUUACUCCAAUUCAAGGACACAUUCCAGAAGCAGGGCCAGUAGGAGGUGUGGUCUAGGAGAGUGCUGAGGGCCUGGUAGAGAGGCUUGUUGAAAGAUGCUGCACUAGAGCAUUGUGGGGAAUUUAAACUGGUGACUUGCCUUUGCCAACUGUGGCUCUGUCACAAGUGACCUACUGGUAUUGGAAAGAGUCAACUAGAGGGCAUGUUGUUUAGGGCCCUCUCAAGCCUUGAAGGGUUGGGUUCAGGAUGGCCCUGUCUCCUACUUUACAGAGGACAGCCCUCUGUUUGAAGGAGUCCUCUAUUUAAAGGGCUGUCUGGUCUAAAACUAGCUUAAAGCAUACCCUCCAACAUUUCUCCGAUGAAAAUAGGGAUGUCCCAUCCCAUAAUGAUAAUUUUACUAUUUAUACCCCACACAUCUCAUUGGGUUGCCCCAGCACUCUGGGCAGCUUCCAACAUAUAU